rnacentral:rRNA from 1 species
AUUGAACGCUGGCGGCAGGCCUAACACAUGCAAGUCGAACGAGUGGCGGACGGGUGCGUAAUGUCUGGGAAACUGCCUGAUGGAGGGGGAUAACUACUGGAAACGGUAGCUAAUACCGCAUACCAUCAGAUGUGCCCAGAUGGGAUUAGCUAGUAGGUGGGGUAACGGCUCACCUAGGCGACGAUCCCUAGCUGGUCUGAGAGGAUGACCAGCCAAACUGGAACGGAGACACGGCCCAGAUCCCUACGGGAGGAAGCAGGGGGGAAUAUUGCACAAUGGGCGCAAGCCGGAUGCAGCCAGGCCGGGUGUAUGAAGAAGGCCUUCGGGUUGUAAAGUACUUUCAGCGGGGAGGCGUUACCCGCAGAAGAAGCACCGGCUACUCCGUGCCAGCAGCCGCGGUAAUAC